rnacentral:rRNA from 1 species
CGGAGGAUGCAAGCGUUAUCCGGAUUUAUUGGGUUUAAAGGGUGCGCAGGCGGAAGAUUAAGUCGGUGGUGAAAUUUUGCAGCUCAACUGUAAAAGUGCCAUUGAUACUGGUUUUCUUGAGUGUGGAUGAAGUAGGCGGAAUUUGUGGUGUAGCGGUGAAAUGCAUAGAUAUCACGAGGAACUCCGAUUGCGAAGGCAGCUUACUAAACCAUAACUGACGCUCAGGCACGAAGGCGUGGGGAUCAAACAGGAUUAGAUA